CUCUAUUUCAGCAAAUGAUUUAGGGCAAAGGAG
ncrna:Companilactobacillus versmoldensis DSM 14857 = KCTC 3814 L31-Firmicutes ribosomal protein leader